AUAUUAAUGAUCUCAUAUUGCUUGCUUUCUCAGUGAGAGGGGAAAGAAUUGGAAGAAAGGAGAGAAUUUGGAAUUUUAAAACAUUUUAGGAAUGUUAUAAAUUAAUAAUUUUUUAAAAGAGAAGUACAAAAUGAACAAUAUAUUUGGAUACCAAGCUACCAAGACACACUCCAAAAAAGAAAAAGGAGAAGUUCUGCUCUAUACCCAAAGAAACAAAGCUUUGUGGUAGAAUUCAAGCCACUCUAACAGGAAGCUCAUUUUGCAGACAAAGAAACUGAGGCCAGGGCAGUGUUCUUACCAGUGCCCAUUGCCCCCAGGGGCAAUCCUGUUCUUCUCCAGUCUCCCUUGCUACAGGAUGGGAAGCCAGUGAGCCACCUCCUCCGGGAAGUCCUCCCCAGAGGGGAGGAAAGCAUGCAGCAAGCCAGCCAGACGGAUGCGGCCCCUGGGGGGCCGGAUUCCGGGGGCCGCAAGCUGGAGGGCCAGGAUCUUAAUCCAGCUCCAGGGAAAUUAAGCUGCCACUGGAACGGGCCGGGGACAUUCCCCUUUGCUGGCUCCUGGGAAUUAAAAACCUCCUACCUCUGCCUCCAGCUUACCCCAUACCUCCCAGGAGAAGAUCACAGCCCCUUGCUGAGUGCCCUCCCCAGCCACAGUCAGAAAAGGAGGAAGGGCUGUGGAGAAGGAGACCCAGGAUGCCUUGAUCCUUUUUUUCACUCCCUUUUCUGGCCCAAUGGAGUAUAUCUUUCAUGUGAUCUAGGCUUCAGUUUCUCCACAUUCAAAAUGGGAAUUCGGGACACACAUCCCGGUGUCCUACAUCACUUGAUUUGGGGUCAUUCUGAGCAAAUAGAAUUGGUUCUAUGCCUCUUCCGCCCAGUCCCCAGGGCUAACAUUAUUUGGCAGAUUCCAUACUACUCCUGCCAAUAACGAGCAUUUCCUUAGCACAUAAAACUGCCCCAUGAGGGAUUAGCCACACUUUACAGAUGAGGAAACACACCCAAAAGGGGUAAAUGCUAAAUUUACACAGGCAGAAGAGGACAAAACCAGGACUCCCAUGCGAGUCUCCUGGGUCAGGGUUCUAGUCAGCUUCUCUCCAAAGAACUCCCUGGGAUUGGCUUCUCAUGGGACCAUAACCACCCAAGAAGUCCUGGACCUGAAGGACAGUGAAAUGAAUCUGAGGGCACAGAUCUCCCCAUCAUCCCUUUUCAGCUUGGUACUCCUUAUCAUCUAAGCCACUCACUCCAGCCUUGAUGCCUUCCAAAGGGGUCAUGUCUUAGCUCCUCCUAAAUGCUCCCUUAGACUAGGCCAAAACCUUUCCAGACUUCUCCCUUCCCAUCCUUCCCUGGCUUAUCUAGUACUGCCUGACCUGACUUACUGGUAACACUGGCAGCUCCUCCAAAACUGGGGCUGGAUUUCUUCUUUCCUUUGUCUCCUCCCCUUCCCCUCCCAGCUUCCCACAGUCUUCAGCACCAGGUCGGGCACCCGUGGGGCUUAUAAUAACACAAGCCAAUAAAUGUUGUUCUGGUCUUUGUCUCUGUUUAAUG
ensembl:lncRNA